UUGAAAGACUGGAUAACGCUAGAAAACAGAGACAUCUUGGAUCUUGAAGGCUUCGAUAACAGGUACGGGUGGCACUCGUACCUGUGGUAUGAAAAGGUGAAAGUACAUAGAGGCUUUUUAAACCAUAUUUUUAGAGGGCCAAUAUUCCAAGUAUGGGAAAGAAAUAAAAACCUAUUGGAAAGGAAGACACCCUGGUGGAUCUCACCAACAGAGGUGUUAACGGUCAAAAAAGUUAAUAUGGAAGGGAAGAAUCCUACCUAUGAAGAACUGACUAGGAAAACGGAUCAAGGUAUAAAACUUAGACCCUAUGAAGAGAUUAAAAACUCAUUUACUGGGUGGUUGCAAUACCACCAGGUAAAUGACCUGUUAAAAGAAGAUAAAAAGAAAAUAGGAUUCGAAGAUAAAAAAUCCAAAUUCAAUGUGGAAGUUGUUGAAGGAAAGAACAAAAUACUGUCUAGAAUAUACGAUAUUUUACUGGAGUGGUAUACAAAAGACGAGGAGGUGAAGGACGUUAUGACUAAGUGGGCAAUAGACAUCGGCUAUAACAUCGAUUUUGAGAGAUGGCUAGAAUUAUGGAAUACUAACAUGAAGUUCACGGCAUGUAUGGCAUUAAGGGAAAAUAUGUGGAAAAUGAUAUUUAGGUGGUACCUCACACCAGUGAAACUGGCUAAGAUCUAUAGGUUAAAGAACAAAAGAUGUUGGAAAUGUGGAGAAGUAGAUGGUGACUUCUACCAUAUGUGGUGGUUAUGCAGCAAAGUGAAAGGCUUUUGGGAAUCGAUUUAUAACGAGCUUAAAAAAAAUUUUAAAUACACGUUUCCCAAAAAACCCGAAGCCUUUCUGCUAGGAAUGACAGGUAAAGAAAUCAAAAAAGAAGAUAAGGUACUAUUUUUAUAUGCCACAACAGCCGCAAGAAUCAUGUUAGCACAAAAUUGGAAAACGGACGCCAUACCUAAUGUAAGUGAUUGGCAGAUUAAAUUAACAAAUUAUGCCGAGCUCGCUAGAAUAACAGGAAGAAUAAGAGAUCAAGAUGAACAGAAAUUUCAUGAUAACUGGAUUAAAUAUUGGAUAUAUAUUGGGACUAAACUUUAAACGACACUGGCGGGAUUGGAAUAACUCUAACAGUAAAAGGUUAUUAUGUAAAAGAGAUAAAAUACGUGAAUAUAAAGUCUAUUUGAUACUUACCAAAGGAGUGGAAGGAAGUUCAAGGCUUGGCAGAGCCUAAAAUAAAUGUAUUUAUGAUUUAUGGAAUGAAUAUAUUAUGUGUAAUUUAAGUAUUGGACUUUGUAUAAGUUUAUAUGUAUAUAUGUAUAAUACCAAUAAAAAUUUAU